rnacentral:rRNA from 1 species
UAAACUAGGAUUAGAUACCCUAUUAUUAGAAAUGUAAAUUUAUUAUACUCAAUUAGUAUUAGUUAUGUUCUUAAAAAUUAAAAAAUUUGGCGGUAUUUUAGUCUUUUCAGAGGAACCUGUUCUGUAAUUGAUAGUCCACGAUUAAAUGUACUUUAUUUUUUAGUUUACAUAUCGUUGUAGUUAGAAUAUUUUAAUAGAAUAUAAAUAUUCAAGAUUUUUUAUUAAAAAAUAAAUCAAAUCAAGGUGUAGUUUAUAAUAAAGUAGUAAUGGGUUACAAUAAAUUUAUUUUAGGAUAAUUUUUAGUAUAGAAAUUUGAAUUUGGAUUUGAAAGUAAUUUUUAUAUAUUUUUAAUAUGAUUAUAGCUCUAAAAUAUGCACACAUCGCCCGUCGCUCUUAA